rnacentral:lncRNA from 1 species
UAGUAGAUAAUACCUCUACCAUCAAAACUUUUUUAAUUUAUUUUAUGUAAAACUUAUUUUUAGAAAAUCCUAAAAGGGUUCUUCAGAUAAAUUUUUGUUUUUGGGACUAAGCUUGUGAUAGCUUGUACUUUUUGGAACACUUCACAGUGCCAACAUGGACGAGGGAGUGGUAUCUCUCUCAAUCGCUUUCAUUUUCCCAUUUCUAACUCUCAUAAUUGAAUUCAUGAGACAUGAACAUGAAGAGGUAUGUUGUAUUCUAUUCACCCCAUCACCCAUUAAUUUCAAUAUCUUUUUGCUUAUGAAUAUAUUGAGUUUUUGUUAUAUAGUUUUGAAAUGAAAAGGUCAAAAUGUUUCACCAAUUUUGUAUAAAGUAUGUUUGUAUAUCUUUAUAUACUCCAAAACUGAAGUAUUAGAUCUAUCUAUUUAUUUUGAUAGAAAUAUAUAGGAUCUUUAUUCCUUCUCCCCGAACACAAGUUCUCGCAUCACCAAUACAACAAAUAAAGUGUAAUUUUCAAAAGACAUUUAAACCCCAUAUUUAAGAGGAAUUAUUUUCUAUAGAUGAACUCAUUUUUUGCACAAUUUUUUCUCUCUAUAAAUUUAUAAUCUCUAUUUGCAAUUAUGAAAUGUUAAAUCCUACUAGAUUUUGUUUUCCCCAACAAUCAUUCUCACCCAAGAAUGCCAAUUACAUUCAAAAACUCUAAAUUUUUCAAAUCAAAAAAGUAAAUUGAAAGGGGUAUAAAAUCAAAUCAAAGCCAUAGUGGCAUAAAAAUAAAAUUACAGACAAUACAUUUGAGUGAAGAUGCGCCUUUUACAAAUUGCAUCGUAUAUCGUAUUAUAGCUUUGAACGAAUAUGCACUUUUUAUGAAUUGCUACAAAUGUCUUAACAACAAACACUAUAAAAAUAACUUACUAGUACCACAAUUAUUGGUGAUCAUGAUGCGUUGUUAGUAAUUUUUUAUUACUUCUCAAACUAAUCUUGAUAUUAAAAGAGAGAAGAACAUAAACAAUAUGAAUUAUCAACAAACAAAAUCAAUAAAAUGACGAAAAAAAUGUAUUUAAUUAGAGGUCAUAGUUUCGAAAGAUAAAGUAUAUCAAAAAUGUAAAUGGCAGAAAAAUAAAAAACACAACAAUUUAUCUUGGUUCGUCUUACAACCAAGGGUACAUCCAGUCCUCUUGCACACCACAAGAGAUUUUCCACUAUUUUUUAGAAUAAGUACAAGUCUAACUCUAAGACUUCUGUUACAAACUUCUAACAAUCACCCUAAGACAGCACACCACUAUCUUAAUUUACAGCACUUGAAGAAAGUACACCACUUUCCUCAACUUACAUAAUAACUUGUGUGGUUUUAUAAUAAUGACUUUUGACUGAAGUCAAGAGUGUAUGACAAAUGAGUACAAUGAUAAUAGUCUAAUAUAAUUUUUCAAGUACAAUAGAGAACUUUUCUCAAUAAUAUGACAUUGUAAAUUCUGUACUUGAAAUAUGAAAUUAAGACUUUGAAUAAAUCAAAAUAUUUCAAAAAGCUUAUUCAAAGUUGUUCUACAAUCGAUGAAAAGAUUGUGAAAAAAUUUAUUCGUUAAAACUGAAGCUAUGAAGUAUUUAUACUCAUUAGACAUCACUUCAUAUCAGUGGCAAUUGUUCCUAGAGGUUUGAAGAACAUAUGCAAUGAUCCAAGUUGAAUUUGAACUGAAAAAUUCCAUUGUUCCACAGUUGUAUUUGGCUACAGCAGGAGUGUAGUUGAAUACACCUCUUGUAACGUUCUGUUUUAUUUGAAAAUUUUAAUCUUAUAUUCGAAUAUAACAUCUUGUAGUCGAAUAGAAAUGAUUGAAUUAUGCGACUGACUUGGUUUUGUAUUCGGCUACACCUUGUUGUAGUCGAAUACAAAUGUGAUGUUUUAGCUACUGACUUAGCAUUUGUAUUCGGCUACACCAUCUCAUAGUCGAAUACAUAUAUUAAGUGAUUUGCUACUUACUUGAGUCUGUAUUCGGCUUUAACAUGCUGUAGUCGAAUACAACUUUGAAUUUUGUCAAAAACUUGAUUUUCAAACAUUGUUCAUUCAUUUUGACACUUUGAAAAUUCUUUUGAUGCAUAUGCUAAAAUGGAAGGUUCUCAUGUGCAUUUGAAAUAUAAUAAUAUUAGAUUGCAUCAUGUACCUUACAUUAUAAGACUUUUAGCAUAUUGACCAUUGUUGACUUGAAUGUUGACUUCUUUUUGAGCUUGCAACUUGGUCACUUUCUUUCGUCUUUGUCUUCAUAAAAAACUUAAGUAUUUUACAUUCUCCCCCUUAAUGUAUGCUUACUCCCCCUUUUAUCUUGAGUUUAUGCCAUCACGUUUUGAAAAUUUGAAAACCUAAAAAUUCUUUAACAACAACAACACAAGAUACCAAGCACAUAUAGGAAAUAAAGACAUCACACAAGAUAGCGAAUAUCAUAGCAAAAAAACAUAGGUGAAAUUUAAACAUGUUUAAGUUUUACAUCACGAUGCAAAACAAUUGCCAUAAAGUUACAACCAAAAUAAUAUAUAACAUUUAAAGACAAACAAACUACAACAAAUUCAAAUUAAGCAGCAAUCUAAAUAUCCUCAUCCAGUGGGAGGUGAAGGUGGUCAAUUUUGACGGAUAGGCCAUUUAGUUCAUGCAACAAAGAUUCAUGGUUUUGGGCAAUGGUAGUUUCCAUGCUUGUUCCUGUUUACGUUCCAUGGUGUUUUUGUCAAACCGGCACAAUGAAACAUAAGCAUCAUAUUUUGUAAUAUGUUCCCAUUCACACAAAUUGAUAGGCCAACGUUUUUGACCUUGAAAUGGUAGCUGCAAUAUUUUUCCAAUUGUUCGAGUUUCUAACUCAAUGUGUUUGUCUUUUACCUGAGACACCAACUUAACACCUUCCUUCUUAAGAUUGCAGUAAAAUACCCUAACUAAAUUAGGAUAGGUGGGGUCGUUAUAACCAACGAAAGCUUCCAAAUGUUGGGCCUUAAGUAACUCAAGAAAUUUAAAAGCGGAGAAAGAAUCAAGAGUACCAUACUUAGGAGUGAUCAACUUUUUGUCUGAGUAGUAGUUUCUAAACCGGUCAAUUUCUUCAGGUGAGUGAAGCAAUCAGGAUAAGUCUGACACAUUAUCAUUUCUAGCCCUCCUUUUUGAAGGACCCACUGUAACAUGCUUUGUUUUGGAACCUCUUUUUCGAGCAUCCAUGGUGAAAGUUUGAAGAAGGUGAAAGUUUUCGAAUUUGGGGAAAAAUGGGGAUUUGGGUUUGGAAAAUUUGAGUUUGACGUGACACUUGUUAGUUUGGAGUGGUCUUAGAUGCAAUUUAUGAUGGUAUAGUGAUUGAGUAAUUGUUGCAUGUAAGAUUGGAUUAGAUUUUGGGAGAAAUGGAAAUGGAUAGCAAACUGUAUUCGACUACUGAAAGUUAAGAAAAUAACCUAAAAACAAGUGAAAACGUUUAUAUAUGAAUAAAACGCGAAACUGUAUUUGACUACACACUAGUUGUAUUCGAAUACACGAUUUUAUGGAAAUGUGUAUUUGAAUACAAACAUUGUGUAUUCGGCUACUAUAUCAAAUUUUUUGUGUUUAAGCCGAAUUUUCACUAAAAGACAAUAUUUAGAGCACAUAUUCAUAUUUAGAAAACACAUAUACAUCAAAGAAUUAAUUUUAUCAAUUUUAUCAAUUUAUCAAGUAAAGAUUUUAGAUUUUGAAGAGAAGUGACUUAAAAAGUAUAGAUACCUUGCAUUAGAGAUCAUUUUCAUUUAAAAUGUCAAUUUCUCUUUGUAUCUUAUAUAAUGAGUCGUUAGGCAAAUGUUUUGUGAAGAUAUGUGCUAGUUGAUUAUGUGUAUCCACAAAUGUUACUUCAAACAUUUCCCUUGAGUACAUGAUCUCGUAGAAAGUGAUGACGUAUGUAAAUAUAUUUGUUCUGAGAGUGCAUGAUUGGAUCUUUGCAUUAUUGAUAGCACUAGUAUUGUCACAUCUUAAUGGGAUGCAUCCGAGAUCAAGUCCAAAGUCACAUAACUGCUGCUUGAGCCAUAGAAUCUGUGCAUAGCAACUGCUUGUGGCUAUGUAUUCUGCUUCAACAGUGCUUAGGGCCACACAAGCUUCCUUUUUAUAGGACCAUGAUACUAACGCAUUACCUAAGAUAUGGCAAGUGCCGCUUGUGCUUUUAUGAUCUGUUUUACAUUCUGCAUAGUCAUAAUCUAAAUAACCAAUAAGAUUGCAUAUGCUUUCUUUUGGAUAUCAUAAGCCAACAUUGGUUGUUCCUUUCAAAUAUUUCAUUAUUCCCUUGAUUGAUGAAAAUGCGAUUUUUGAGUUGCUUGAUGUGGAGUCCACGAAAAUAAUUUAACUUUCCCAUCAUAGACAUUUCAAGUUCUCCUUGCAUCAUUAAUGAGAAUUCUUCACAUAUUUAAUUAUUAGUUGAUUCAAAUAUGAUAUGUCAACGUAGAUUUGAACAAGUAAAGUGUGAUCAUUAGUUCUUUUAAUGAAUAAUGUCUUAUCAACUUUACCGUUUUCAAAUCCUCGCUCACAUAGGAAGUUACUUAGCCUAUCAUACCAAGCUCCUGGAGCUUGUUUCAAACCAUAAAGAGCUUUCUUUAAUUUAAAAACAUGUGAAGGAUUCUUGAAGUCUUCAAAGUCGGGUGGUUGUUUUACAUAUACUUCUUCAUUAAUGUAGCCAUUGAGAAAAGCACUCUUGAUAUCCAUAUGAAAUAAUUCAAAAUUUAAAGAGCAAGCAUAAGCAGGUAAUAAACAGAUUGCUUCUAACCUUCCUACCAGAGCAAAUGUUUCAUCAAAGUCGAUCCCUUCUUCUUAGUUGUAUCCUUGAGCAACCAACCUUACCUUGUUUUGAACAACUAUACCAUUUUCAUCUAGUUUAUUCUUAAACACUCAUUUGGUACCAAUAAUGUGUUUAUUGUCAGGAUUAGGAACAAGUUCCCACACUUUAUUUCUUUCAAACUGGUUUAGUUCUUCUUGCAUGACAUGUAUCCAUUGAUCAUCCUUAAGUGCUUCACCAAUGUUGGAAGGUUCUAUUUGAUAGACAAAUACCAUAUUCAAACAAGCAUCUUGGAGUUUGAUCCUUGUAGUAACUCCUUUGUUGAUAUCACCAAUAAUGUUGUCAAUAGGGUGAUCUCUAUGGGUUCUCCAUUCCUUAGGGAGAUCAUUAUGUUGAUCUUGCUGCUCAAUACUGAUUUCAUUCUCUUGAAUUGGUUGGUCAACUUGAUUGUCUUUGCUUCUAUCAUCACUUAUAAAAUCAUCAUCAUCACAAGCGACAAUUUUAUCCUCUUUCAAGGGGUAGAUUCAUCAAAAGAUACAUGCAUAGAUUCUUCAACUAACAAAGUUCUUUUAUUAAAAAUUCUAAAAUAUUUACUAGAUAAUGAGUAACCAAUGAAGAUACCUUCAUAGGCUUUCUCAUCGAAUUUUCUAAGAUUUUCUUUACCAUUAUUCAACACAAAACAUUUACGUCCAAAUAUGUGAAAGUGAGAGAUAUUGGGCUUUCUACCUUUGUAGAGUUCAUAUGGAGUCUUCUUUGGGAUUGGUCAAAUUAUUACUCAGUUGGAUACAUAAAAAGUUGUACUUACAACAUCUUCCCAAACGUAUUUUGGUAAACUUGAGUCACUUAGCAUGGUCCUUGCAAGUUCUACCUAUGAUCUAUUCUUUCUCUCAACAACUUCAUUUUGUUGAGGUGUUCUUGGUGCAUAAAAGUUAUGGAAGAUUCCAUUUUCUUCACAAUACUCUACAAAAGAAGCAUUUUGAAAAUCUCCUCCAUGAUCACUUCUUAUUGAUACAAUUUUUGUUGCUUGUUCUUUUUGGACUAGUUUGGCAUAAUUUUUAAAUGCUUUAAAAGCUUCAUUUUUAUUUUCCAAAAAUAAGGUCCAAGUAAACCUAGAGUAAUCAUCAACAAUUACUAGUGCAUAUGAAUUUCCACCAAGAAAUUUAGUUCAUGAUGGAUCAAACAAGUCCACAUGUAUCAAUUGAAGUGGUCUUGAAGUUGAUACAAUAUUCUUAAUUUUCUUACCCUUUUGACAAGCAUCACAUAAUUUGUCCUUAAUGAAUUUCAUCUUUGGUAAGCCUUUGUAAGACCCGUAAUUUUAAAGUGUGCUUUAUGUGUUUUUGUGUAUUUUGGAUUUUGGCUCGGAGGCUUUUCAGCCAAAGUUAAUAAUAUUUUGGAGAUAUUUGUUAAAAGUAAGUAAUAAAUAUAUAUAAAUAUAUAUUUAUGUUUAUAUAUGUUUGUUUGGAGGGAAAAAGAAAGGAAAACUAGAAGGAAGGAAAAGGAAAAGAAAAUAGUAUAAAAGGAAGGAAGGAAAAAGGAAGAAAGGAAAAACAAAGGAAAGAAAAAGAAAGGAAAGAAAAACGCCAUUUUCCAUCGUCUUCUUCCUCUGUCCGCGACCAAAUUCCCUCCUUUCUCCCGUUUUCAUUUUCGUCGCUUUCUUUUCUUCAAAACUAGUAACCCAAGGUUGGGUGAGAGUUAGAUCAAGGUUUUUGCAACUCCACUCUUCCUCUUUGAUUCGAAAACGAAGAAAAACGGUUUUUGAGAUCCAAACACAAACCCCUCCGUUUCUCCUAGAUCCAAACCUCAUUUCUCGAAGAGAUAGAAGGGAAAGUUGCUCACCACCACGCUACGGUGCUAGGGAACUAAUUUGGAAGCGGCGUUGCGAGCGGAGAUUUUACCGGAAUUACUCGCGGUACCGGAAACGCACGUUAAAGCUAACGUUGAGGUAAGGGCUCCUUCCAAACUUCUAGUUGCAUUAGGGACUUAUCUGUGGUUGUGUGGGAAGGAAUUUGUUAGGGUUAAAUGUAUCGAUUUGGGGAAAAACGAAACUAGUGCGUUAUGGGUAAAAACCUUAGAGUUAGGUUUUGUUUAUAAUGAUGAAUGUUUCGUGGUAAAUGAAUUUGAAGUCAUCGUGUACGAUUAUGAGUAAAUGAAAUUUGAUGUAUCUGGGUGUUAUGUUGCUUGAUUUGUGUUCGUUGUAUUUGGUGUGUUCGUACUUGAUGUUUGUUAAUUGGUGUGGUUGUUGUGAAUUAUGGUUUGAAUGUGAAAGUAUGUUUGAAUUUGUUUCUGUGGAAUUUGAAAACCAUUAGAGUUAAACGAGUAUUAAAAAUGGGGAAUCUUUUAAUACCUCGGUUUACUUAAUGUGCAUUUGAGGAAAAGGUUUAAGUUAACUGGGCGUUGAGAAUGGGGAAUCUCUUAAUGUCCCGGUUACUUAACGAUCGUUUUUGAAAAUCGUUCCGGUAAAUGAGUGUUAAGAAUGGGGAAUCUCUUAAUGACUCGUUUACUGAAUAUUUUGUGUGAAAAUCGUUUAAGUCAAAAGUAUAUUAAGAAUGGGGAAUCUCUUAAUAUGACUGUUUGCUUAACGUUUUGUUUUGAAAAUCAUUAAGAUAAAUCAGUAUUAAGAAUGGGGAAUCUCUUAAUAUGACUGUUUGCUUAACGUUUUGUUUUGAAAAUCAUUAAGUUAAAUCGGUAUUAAGAACGGGGAAUCUCUUAAUGACUUAUUUAAUUAAUGUUGUUUGAAAGUCGUUUAAGUUAAAUGGGUAUUAAAAAUGGGGAAUCUUUUAAUAUCUGCAUUUGCUUAACGAUUGUUGUGAAUGGAGUCUGUGUAUGCUCAUGCAUUUCAUUUGGUAAAUUGUGUCGACCCGUGAUAGGUGACACCUUGGUAAACUGUACGGACCCGUGAUAGGUUGUACGUUUGCGAUUUACAUUUUAGUAAAUCGUGUUGACCCGUGAUAGGUGACACCUUGGUAAACUGUACUGACCCGUGAUAGGUGGUACAUUUACGAUUUACAUUUUUGGUGAAUUGUGCUGACCCGUGAUAGGUGGCACCUAGGUAAACAGUACUGGUCUGUGAUAGGCGGUACGUUUACGAUUCCCGCUUUUUCUUUUAGUAAAUCGUGUUGACCCGUGAUAGGUGACACCAUGGUAACUGUACUGACCCGUGAUAGGUGGUACGUUUAUGAUUUACGCAUUUUAGUAAAUCGUGCUGACCCGUGAUAGGUGGCACCUCGGUAAUUGGUACUUUGGCCUGCGAUAGGCGGUACAAUUAUGAUUUACGGCCCUUCGAGGAGGGUUUUGGUUUGGAAUUCCGAGUCCAUGCAUUUUGGCAUAUACGCAUUGCAUUAGGGUGCUUGGCACACGAGUCGUGUUUGAUUGAGUUUUAUGAUUGAGUGAUUUGAAUUUGAUUUAUCGUGUUAAUUGCGUUGAAAAUGCUAAGUGUUAUGUGUUGAUUAUUGUGUGUAAGUAAGAUGGUUAUCGAGAUCCCAAUUGCCGUGGUAAUCGCGUAGAAAUUGCUAAGUGUUAAGUUGUGAACUUGAUUAGGAAUGACUUAGGUUAAUUCAUGAAUUUUUGGAAAAAUGAUCAGGGAAAUCGAUUUCCCAAUCGAUUGGAUGGAAGUCAGGGGCUUGGCCAAAUGAACAAAAUCGAUUAGCCAAUCGAUUUUGUAAUCAGUUUUCGAAAAAUCCCUUACGAAAUCGAUUGCCCAAUCGAUUGGCCAUUAAGUCAGGGGCUCAGCUAUCCUGUCAAUCGAUUGCCCAAUCGAUUGAAUCAAGCCAGAGUUCAAAAUUUCACUAAAAACCUUCAGGAAAUCGAUUUGGAAAUCGAUUGGUAUUAAGUCAGGGGCUCCGUUAUCCUGUCAAUCGAUUGCCAAAUCCCAUGUCUUGAUUUGUUAUGUUAUAAUUAGGGGAUUGAGAACUUCAUUUUACUUUCAUUUUUAAUUAGCAAAGUAUUGUAUGAACGUUUCGCAUAUUGAAAAUCCUGUUAAGGUGCAUGCUUAGUUGAAAAGUUAUUUUGAGCAUUUAAAAGCUUAAUUGCUAUGUGUUAACUGUUAUUUUUUUGGUUGGUGACCCUUUACAAUUGUUGUGGAAAUCUGGGCUUUGCCCUCAGAUGAGAGUCAGGACAGUCCUACCGGUUCGUACCCUACGGACGGGAAUGGAGAUGGGAACGCUUGACUGCAGUUACGUUAGGAGGAUCUCACGGGGCGCGUGGAGAUACUCAGGGUGUAUAGCUUUUUGGUAUGAUGAUCAGAUUAGGAUGAUGUAUAGGGACUAGGUGUCUUUUUUUGAUUGGAGUAUUUUUAGUUUGGAAAACUGUACUUAUACUAAUAUUGUCAGUUUGAC